UACGGGGGGAGCAAGCGUUGUUCGGAUUUACUGGGCGUAAAGGGCGCGUAGGCGGCGUGUCAAGUCAGGCGUGAAAGCCCCGGGCUCAACCUGGGAACCGCGCUUGAGACUGGCAUGCUCGAGUUCGGGAGAGGAUGGUGGAAUUCCCAGUGUAGAGGUGAAAUUCGUAGAUAUUGGGAAGAACACCGAUGGCGAAGGCAGCCAUCUGGGCCGACACUGACGCUGAGGCGCGAAAGCGUGGGGAGCAAACAGG
rnacentral:rRNA from 1 species